UACGGAGGGUGCAAGCGUUAUCCGGAUUCACUGGGUUUAAAGGGUGCGUAGGCGGAAUUGUAAGUCAGUGGUGAAAGCCUGCAGCUUAACUGCAGAAUUGCCAUUGAUACUGCAAAUCUUGAGUACAUUUGAUGUGGGCGGAAUGUGUCAUGUAGCGGUGAAAUGCUUAGAUAUGACACAGAACACCGAUUGCGAAGGCAGCCUCACAAAACUA
rnacentral:rRNA from 1 species